UAAAGCGAAUGCCCUCGACUCUCUCCGCAAAACUCUGUUUUUCCUUUGAGAAAAAACUCUCUUCGCAAACGAUAAGAAAUUUCUGAUCUUUUUCAUGUCUUCUCGGCGACCCUCGACCUCGACGACACCAAUCACCGUCCACCUCCUGCACGCCGUCGUUCCAUGCCUGCCCGUGCAUCGAGGUUCCUUGAAUUAUAUUGGAGAAAUUGGUCGAGAAGAACUGCAUUCCAGUAGUGCUGACGACUGAUAUUUAUUGUAAUUGCAGAUGUGUGGAAAAGGACUUUUCAAUGCUAACCUUUUUCAACAAUAUUUGACUUUGAAUAUCUGUAACUUUUUUUUUUUUUUAUAAGUACGAAUAUAUAUCUGGAACUAAAUUCCUGUAAUACAGUCUUUCCUUCAACUAUAUAUAUGUACUUGGUCAUUUACUUCA